rnacentral:rRNA from 1 species
GACGAACGCUGGCGGCGUGCUUAACACAUGCAAGUCGAACGAUGCUGCCAGCUUGCUGGUGGAUUAGUGGCGAACGGGUGAGUAACACGUGAGCAACCUGCCCCUGACUUCGGGAUAACCGCGGGAAACCGUGGCUAAUACCGGAUAUGACGCGCUAUCGCAUGGUGGUGUGUGGAAAGAUUUAUCGGUUGGGGAUGGGCUCGCGGCCUAUCAGCUUGUUGGUGGGGUGAUGGCCUACCAAGGCGACGACGGGUAGCCGGCCUGAGAGGGUGACCGGCCACACUGGGACUGAGACACGGCCCAGACUCCUACGGGAGGCAGCAGUGGGGAAUAUUGCACAAUGGGCGCAAGCCUGAUGCAGCGACGCCGCGUGAGGGAUGACGGCCUUCGGGUUGUAAACCUCUUUCAGUAGGGAAGAAGGCCCUCGGGUUGACGGUACCUGCAGAAGAAGCGCCGGCUAACUACGUG